CUGAAUUAUCCAGACCGAAGUGAUUCUGGAACAGUUAAAAUUUACAGUUAAUUCUCUCUUAUCUCUUCUUCUCUCUUAGUGUACUGCUGAUGUUAAAUUUCAGUUAAUUAAUUGAAUCUCCUUUUCUUUGGUUCUUGUUUAUGCAGUUCUUGUUUAUGCGGAGAGGCACCGAGCCAGCUGCUAGUGUCCUGUGCUGCUGGCAGUUGUGAGCACCUUCUUAUCUUUCUUUCUGCUUGUUUAGAAUUGUUGGCUAGAAACAGAACAUUCAUUUUGGAGUACUUCAGUAGCAGUAGUAAAUAUCACCAUUUCGCUUCAAAUUCAGUUGACAAUCACUUGUUCACAUUACUGCCAAAUAUUGAUAGAGUUGUUGCCAAAUUCAGGUUGAUGAGAUGAAUGUGGGCAUCAACCGACCUCAGCAGCAGCUCCAGAAAUAGCCUCCACCUGGGUGUGCCGUGUGCAGCACCACCACCACCAGUAGCAGCAACAGCUCUAGGAUAAGGCCUAAAGGUGGAGUGGAGGAGUGCGUUGUGCAGCAGCAGCACCACCAGUAGUAGCAGCAGCUCGGGAGAGGAGGAUCACCUGAGCCUGGAAGUGGAGGCUCUCGGACCUGGGUGUAGUCUUGGAGGUGGAGGCGCCAGGAUCAGGGUGGAGGUGGACGUGGACGUGGAGGUUGAGGGCGGGGCCGGAGGUGGAGGUCGAGGGCGAGGGCGGACCGCCGGAGGUGGA
rnacentral:lncRNA from 1 species